AUGAGUAGACUUUUAGAAACAAAUGUUAUGUUUGACAUGCAGGAAAACAUGGCAGUUUACUCUGAUAUACCUACUGCAACAACCACCUCAGUCCCUGUUGCAAGAGGUAGAAGAGGAGCACAAGCUGCAUCUCAACCAGGUCCUUCUACUUCUGCACCAGGCCCUACACCAAGAGCUAAAAGAGGUAGGACUGCAGGUGGAGGGAGGACUCGUGGAUUCACUGCACCAAGAGCUGCAACCACUUCUGAUAUUCAAGUUGGGAGCAAGAGGAAGAGGACCCCAAGCUCAAAAUUGGCAGACUACUUCUACUGUAGUGGUAACUACUGA
rnacentral:rRNA from 1 species